GAGAGGUUUGCUAAUCUUUCAAGGAGAAGUUCUAUUUCAAAUUAUGGACAGAUCAUACAGUCCUAACCAUCCUAACCAGGACAUUUCGGAACAAAUGACCUGCACCGUAGCUGCUGCUGUUUGCAUGAGAUGAAACACAGAUAACCACAUGCUAUUCAGCAUCAAUGGGACGCAUUGCAGAAGCAUGCUCACUGAGACACGCUCGGCUCCCACCAAAUCCAGCCCCCAAAUUUGAACUGGAGGGAGGGGAAGUUACGGCACUGACUCUUGUGUUGUACUCCUCUGUGUCUGUUUGGCUUCCACCCUGCAUGGUUCCCUCUGCACCUAUGGCUCUGCGGCUGAAAAGGUGAACGCGGAUUACACUGGAAAAGAUGGACGACAUUGACAGGAAGCCAUGUGAGAUGAAGGGGAAACAGAGGACAGUCCAUGAAAUCAUUCUCCCACCCAGCUGUUGACAGCUGCGCUGAUGGGCAGCUCCCUUCUCCAGCAGGAGAUGUAGAGAUGAGCUGUGUUUUUCGACAUAUUAAACCGCUGUUUGUUUUGUGAUGAAGCCUCACCAGACAAAGCACUAACUCCCAUUCUUUGAUAUUGGGAAUUCACAGCUGGGAAGUGCUGUUUGGCAGCCAACAGCAGUAUGAAAAUCCCAUAACCCACUAAUAUGGUUUCUUUUCAUUGCACCCUUUCGCACUGUUUUUAAGUAACUGUUACACAAUACUGCAUAUGAAAAGCAUAUUUGCACUUUAAAUCAUUGACUCUUAGGCACUUGUUCUAGCACUUAGAUAACAUUUAUCGCCUUAACUUUAUGAGUGUUAUUUUAUGGGCACAAACACUCUUGGUUAGUGGUCAGUUAUAAUGUUUGCUUUGAAUAAAACCAAAUAUCUAUUUCAAGAAAACCAUGGGCAUGUUUCCAUUGAAAAGCACAUUUUCAUAACUUUCCCCAUCACAAUUAUAUAAAUUUUGAGUUCUG